rnacentral:rRNA from 1 species
AAUGGGGGAAACCCUGACCCAGCAACGCCGCGUGAGGGAAGACGGUUUUCGGAUUGUAAACCUCUGUCCUCUGUGAAGAUAAUGACGGUAACAGAGGAGGAAGCUCCGGCUAACUACGUGCCAGCAGACGCGGUAAUACGUAGGGAGCAAGCGUUGUCCGGAUUUACUGGGUGUAAAGGGUGCGUAGACGGCUAUGCAAGUCAGAAGUGAAAUCCAUGGGCUUAACCCAUGAACUGCUUUUGAAACUGUGUAGCUUGAGUGAUGUAGAGGUAGGCGGAAUUCCCGGUGUAGCGGUGGAAUGCGUAGAGAUCGGGAGGAACACCAGUGGCGAAGGCGGCCUACUGGGCAUUAACUGACGUUGAGGCACGAAAGCAUGGGUAGCAAA